rnacentral:miRNA from 1 species
UCCAUAUAAUAUUUUCCAA